UCGAGAAUCAUUGUCAAUGCACGAAAGUGUGAACAUGCGACGCCGCGUGGAGGAAGACGGCCUUUGGGUUGUAAACUCCUGUCAGCAGGGAGUAAGGAUGGUAUAUUUAAUACAUCUACCAUUUGAUAGUACCUGCAGAGGAAGUCACGGCUAACUCUGUGCCAGCAGCCGCGGUAAUACAGAGGUGGCGAACGUUGUUCGGAUUUACUGGGCGUAAAGGGUCCGCAGGCGGUCCGGUGUGUCAGAUGUGAAAGCCCACAGCUUAACUGUGGAAUUGCAUUUGAAACUGCCGGACUAGAGUACUGGAGGGGAGAAGGGAACACUUGGUGUAGCGGUGAAAUGCGUAGAUAUCAAGUGGAACACCGGUGGCGAAGGCGCUUCUCUGGACAGAUACUGACGCUCAUGGACGAAAGUUAGGGUAGCGAAAG
rnacentral:rRNA from 1 species